UACAGAGGUCCCAAGCGUUGUUCGGAUUCACUGGGCGUAAAGGGUGCGUAGGUGGCCAGGUAAGUUUGGUGUGAAAGCUCGGAGCUUAACUCCGAAAAGUCAUUGAAUACUAUCUGGCUGGAGGGUCGGAGGGGAGACUGGAAUUCUCGGUGUAGCAGUGAAAUGCGUAGAUAUCGAGAGGAACACCAGUGGCGAAGGCGAGUCUCUGGACGACUCCUGACACUGAGGCACGAAAAGCUAGGGGAGCAAACAGG
rnacentral:rRNA from 1 species